GAAUAUAAGCAGGCUGCCCCAGCUAGCAGUGGCAACCUGCUCGGGUCCCCUGCCACACUAUGGACGCUUUGUUCUUUUGCUCUUUGCAAUAAAUCUUGCUACUGCUCACUCUUUGGGUCCACACUGCCUUCAUGAGCUGUAACACUCACCGGGAAGGUCUGCAACUUCACUCCUGAGCCAGCGAGACCACGAGCCCACCGGAAGGAACAAACUCCCGCACGCCGCCUUUAAGAACUGUAACACUCACAGAGAGGGCCCACGGCUUCAUUCCCGAAGUCAGUGAGACCAAGAACCCACCAAUUCCGGUUUCUUUUUCUGCAUCCGCUGCUCUGUUAAGUGAUCACCACAUUCAUUGUUCUCGUUUCUAUUAUUUCUGAAAAAAAUCUUCAGGAUUCUGCUUGUGGGAGUGGAUGACAUUUUUACAGUGUUUACAGGCUGAAAAUUUUUCGAGCUUUUAUGCUCUGCUUCCGUUAUAAGGAGGAGGCCUCACAAUCCUGGUGGAAGGCAAGGAGGAGCAAGUCACAUCUUAUGUGGAUGGCAGCAGGCAAAGAAAGCUUAUGCAGACACAAAAUGAACAAGAUGUCUGUGACAACCCUCAGGCCAUUGACGCCUUCUCUCCUAUGUAUCAAAUCACACAUUUGGACUUUGACUGAACCCUCACAUGUCAGAUGCUCAAUACUGAGCUUUAUCUAUUCCAGAAUGUCAUAUAGCUGGUAUAAGAAAGAACACUAAUCAUUCCUAAGGAAGAAAAUUAACAACGCCGUGAGUUAUAAUAUCUGGCUGAAACUGAAGGAGCUCUGUGUAAUUAAAAGUCCUUUCUGCCCUGCCUGGCCAUGGUUCUGUAUGCAUUGAUGUCUUACAAACUGAAAAAAAAAAAAAAAGUUAUUUUCUCAUCUCCAUUCCCUAGCAUAGACGUAUUACAUGGUGUGGAAUUGAAACAAGAAAAUUGCAUUUUAAUCUUCCACUCAAAACAUAGAAGAAUGAAACAAACAAACAAAAAAUAUUCUGUUGUCUUAGUCUACCACAAGCAAAGUCUGGCAGUCUCUUUGCUUUGGUAAUGGCAUAAAUUCCUUGAUUAGCCUACAGGAUAGCCCAUUGUUCUGCUCUUUUAGUGGAAUAGCUAGCAGUUGCUUUGUCAUUUUUUCCCCCAAGGUUCCUACCAUUAGUGUUGGGAGGUUUCUUUUUUGUUUUUUUGAGAAAGAGGAAAAAGUUGUUAUUUUUCAUAAAAACUUAAAUUUCAUCCAAAAUACUUGAUUUUCAUGAAGAAAGUAAAUAUCUCUGCCCCUAGUAUGCAUGUGUGGAAACUUUCAGAACCCUGAAGAUAAAUACAUUUCAAACAAGUGAGUUUGAAAAUAUCAAUAGCAAAAUAGGAAGUAAGCUAAUUAGAGAGGUAAGAACUAGAUGGCUUAGCAUUCCAAUAAUAAUAUAUAACCUUCUUUAAGAGUAAAAUCUUGGUCAAAAGACAGAUGAAAACUCCAAUAAAAUUUCACAACUCAUGGAAAAGUCUAUCUUCAUAAUUCUUUAUGAAGCAAACUAUAUAUAUAUGUUUUAUAUAUAAAACAUAUAUAUAUAUUUGAGACAGAGUUUCGCUCUUGUUGUCCAGGCUGGAGUGCAAUGGUGCGAUCUUGGCUCACGGCAACCUCUGUCUCCCGGGUUCAAGUGAUUCUCCUGACACAGCCUUGUAAGUGGUUGGGAUUACAGGUGUGUGCUAUCAUGCCCGGCUAAUUUUGUAUUUUGAGUAGAGACGGGGUUUCUCCACGUUGGUCAGGGUGGUCUCGAACUCCCGACCUCAGGUGAUACCCUCGCCUCGACCUCUCAAAGUGCUGGGAUUAGAGGCUUGAGCCACCACGCCCAGCUGCAAACAUAUUUCUUACAUUUUCCAACAUCACAAAAUUUUACUGAGCUAUGAUAUGUACUAAAAGCUGAUAAAGAUGGUGUUGUUAUAUUUAACAGUACUCUGAAUUUUGUUGCCAUUUCUAAAAUGGUAUUCAGAGGAAAUUAUGCCCAUGUUUCUAUAGAGAGAAUUUUAAAAAAUACAUGAGCAUACAAAUUUGAGCAACGUUGAUUAAGGUUCCAUAAAAUUGAAGCAGGAAAUAGUAUAGAAUAUACUUUUGCUCACUCUAUUAAAAUAAGUCUCUCAUAAGUAUGCUUCAGUUAAGUUCGAAGGGUAGGAAAAUUAACCUGGAACGGGGCAUUCAGAUUAAGUUUAUUUUGGAGAAAUUUCUAUGUCAGCUGAGAUUAUUUUCUAUAAAAACAGAAGAAAGAUGAAUAUCACUAAUGAUAGCACAAACCACUAAUUAGAAGGCAGUAUGUAGAAUUUUUCUGGAAGAAUAAAACUAUAAAUGACAAAUUAAUUUUAUCAGAAAUUGUAAGAAAAUGCAAUGAGGGUAAUAGGAAUGUUAUAUUUGAAUACAAUGGACAGCAAAUUGUAAACUGAAUGUAUUCACUAACACAAAAGAGAAAAUUACUUUUAAUGAUUGCCUAUUGUUUCUCUCUACAUAAAGUUUGAGUUUCAUGUCUGAUGACCUUAUGGCUUUUUAAAUAGACACUUCAUGUGACAUCAUUAAAUUACUUUAUACAGUAUUACUACAUUUCUAUGGUAAAAUUUAAGCAAGAGAUUAAUUUUGAAAGACUUUCAGAGAAAGACUUGUAAAUACAGACAUGAGACAU